AACGAACGCUGGCGGCAGGCCUAACACAUGCAAGUCGAGCGGACCCUUCGGGGUUAGCGGCGGACGGGUGAGUAACGCGUGGGAACGUGCCCUUUGCUUCGGAAUAGCCCUGGGAAACUGGGAGUAAUACCGGAUACGCCCUUUUGGGGAAAGAUUUAUCGGCGAAGGAUCGGCCCGCGUUGGAUUAGGUAGUUGGUGGGGUAAUGGCCUACCAAGCCGACGAUCCAUAGCUGGUUUGAGAGGAUGAUCAGCCACACUGGGACUGAGACACGGCCCAGACCCCACCGGGAGGGAGGAGGGGGGAAUUUUAAACAAGGGGGGAAACCCUGAUGUGCCCAGGCCGGGGGAGGGAUGAAGGCUUUAGGGUUGAAAAGCUUUUUCCCCGGGGAAGAAAAUGACGGUACCCGGAGAAGAAGCCCCGGCUAACCCCGU
rnacentral:rRNA from 1 species